CCUACGGGUGGCUGCAGUGGGGGAUAUUGGUCAAUGGGGGAAACCCUGAUCCAGCGACGCCGCGUGAGUGAAGAAGUAUUUCGGUAUGUACAGCUCUAUCAGCAGGGAUGAAAGAAAUGACGGUAGAUGAUUAAGAAGCCUCGGCUAACUACGAGCCAGCAGGCGCGGCAAUACGUAGGGCGCAAGCGUUAUUCGGAAUUACUUGGUGUACGGGGAGCGUAGGCAGUACUGCAAGUCUGGAGUGAAAGGGGUGGGGCCAACCCCAGGAAUGCGGUGGAACCUGGCUGACUGGAGUGCAGGAGAGGCAGGCGGAAUGCGAAGUGUAGAGGGGAAAUGCUUAGAUAUUAGGCAGAACGCCGAUGGCGAAGGCGGCCUACCGGAGGGCAAUUGACGUUGAGGCACGAAAGCGUGGGUAGCGAACAGGAUUAGAUACCCAAGUAGUC
rnacentral:rRNA from 1 species